rnacentral:lncRNA from 1 species
UGAUCCAAGGGUCGAGAUUAAUUGUUCCCCUCUUUCCUUUUAAGAUACGAAAAACACAAUCCCUAACACUAAUCUCACUUCAACUGCCGAAGCUCCUCUCUCUCUAGGAUCUCUCUGCCCUCCACGCCGGCGAACUCCCACGAGCCACCGCCUCUCCGACCUCCAUGUGGCGAGUAGGGACUGGUUUUUCUCUGACAUUUCCGGCGUCCACUUCUUCAGCUUCAACUACUAGUGCUGUUGCUCCAUCUACAAGUUUUUUGUUGUCUGACAAAGCAUCUGCACCAGCUUCAUCCUCGCAAUCUCAAUCAACUGCGGAUAUGCCAAGCUUUGGUAAGAUUUACUCUUACUUUAAUAUUGUAUUGUCUAUGUUGUAGUUGUAUCAUAUGAUAGUUAAACUUGCUUAUUGAAUAGAUGUAGUGUCCGACAUACUUUAAUGGCGCUUUAAUUGGUUAAUGAAAUGGAAUUAGUUGUUCUAAUUUUUUCUUCGAUUCAAAAGUUGUAGUUCAUAUCCAGAAGGUGGCUUAAUCAUCCAUGACUUCAAUUUUCUUCUGCUGUAUAAAAUAUGCCUUAUGAGAGAGGUGAAUAGUUUGUUAAUGGCUAGGCACUCUGAUGUACUUGAAAGGUGGACUUGUUAAUUUAAUACUUUUGGUCGUAAUCUUGAUAAACUUAAGGAUGUUUUUGAUUCAAUUAAGGUUAAACAUGGGAAAAUCGAGAUUAAGACAGUGGCGGUUGCUUUCUCUGGUGAUUUGGAUGAAGGGUUUAAGAAGAUUAAGGAGAUAAUUGAAGGAUUAGAUAUUGGGGUUUUGAUUAAUAAUGUUGGGGUUUCAUAUCCUUAUGCUAGAUUUUUUCAUUAAGUGGAUGAUAAAUUGUUGGCUGAUUUGAUUAAAGUUAAUGUUGAAGGAACUGUUAAGGUUACUCAAGCUGUUUUACCUGGUAUGGUUCAGAGGAAAAGAGGUGCUAUUGUUAAUAUUAUUUCUGGUGCUACCUGUUAAUAUUGCACCUUAAGUUGAAAUUUAUUUGAAGAAAGAGUAAAAAGUAUACAAGUUGAUAGACUUUGUAGCCAACUUGAAAUUUGUAAAGAAUCUUAGGGAGAAACUAUUUGUUGAUAUUCAUGAAGUACACAUGUGAACUUAAAUUUGUGUGCAUAGGAGGGUUUUCCAAAUACCAAAUUUGAGUGGAGUUCUGAUUAUUUCUUUACUUGAGGUCCUUAUUAGUUCAUAUUGCUAAUCAAGUACCUACACCUAAACUUUUCAUUUUGAAUUUAGUUUAGUUUGGUAACUUGUGAAGUGAAUUAGUGACUUGAAAUGUUUAGGUGUAGUAGGGACUUGAAAGGUGGACUUGUGUUUUGAAUAUAGUUAAGUGUGGUCACUUGAGAAGUGUAUUAGUUAGUCGAAAAUGUUCAAGUGUAGUUUCUUGAAAGGGGAACUUGUGAUUUGAAUUUAGUUAAGCGUGGUCACUAGAGAAGUGAAUAAGUGACUUGAAAAUGUUUUAAGUGUAGGUACUUGAAAUGUGGACUUGUGUUUUGAAUUUAGUUAAGUGUGGUCAUUUGAGAAGUGAAUUAGUAAAUCGAAAAUGUUUGAGUGUAAUUACUUGAAAGGUGGGUUUGUGUUUUGAAUGUAGUUAAGUGUGGUCACUAGAGAAGUGAGUUAGUGAGUCGAAAAUGUUUAAGUGUAGGUACUUGAAAUGUGGACUUGUUUUGAAUUUAGUUAAGUGUGGUCACUUGAGAAGUGAGUUAGUGACUUGAAAAUGUUUGAGUGUAGGUACUUGAAAUGUGAACUUUUCAUUUUGAAUUUAGUUUAGUUAGGUAACUUGUGAAGUGAUGCCUUAGUGACUUGAAAUGUUUAAUUGUAGUUACUUGAAAGGUGAACUUGUGUUUUGAAUAUAGUCAAGUGUGGUCACUAGAGAAGUGAAUAAGUGACUUGAAAAGGUUUUAGUGUAGGUACUUGAAAUGUGGACUUGUGUUUUGAAUUUAGUUAAGUGUGGUCACUUGAGAAGUGAAUUAGUGAGUCAAUUUUUUAAGUGUAGUUACUUGAAAGGUGAACUUCUGUUUUGAAUAUAGUUAAGUGUGGGACGUGAGUUAAUGACUUGAAAAUGUUUAAAGUGUUGGUACUUGAACUGUAAACUUUUCAUUUUGAAUUAAGUUUAGUUUGGUAACUUGUGAAGUGAAUUAGUGACUUGAAAAUGUUUAUUUGUAGGUACUUAAAAUGUGUACUUUUCAUUUUGAAUUUAGUUUAGUUAGGUAACUUGUGAAGUGACUUAGUGACUUGAAAUGUUUAAUUAUAGUUACUUGAAUUACGAAUUAAUGACUUUUGUUUUGAAUUUAGGUACUUGAAAUGUGAACUUGCGUUUUGAUUUUAGUAUAGUGUGGUCACUUGAUAAGUGAAUUAGUGACUUGAAAAUGUUUUUGUGUAGGUACUUGAAACGUGAACUUUUCACUUUGAAUUAAGUUUAGUUUGACAACCUGUGAAGUGAAUUAGUGACUUGAAAAUGUUUAAGUGUAGGUACUUGAAAUGUGAACUUGCGUUUUGAUUUUAGUAAACUGUGGUCACUUGACAUGCGAAUUAGUUACUUCAAAAUGUUUAAGUGUAGGUACUUGAAACGUGAAUUUUUCAUUUUGAAUUAAGUUUAGUUUGGUAACUUGUGAAGUGAAUUAGUGACUUGAAAAUGUUUAGGUGUAGGUAUUUAAAAUGUGAACUUUUGUGACUUGAACUAAUUAUUUGAAUGUGAUUGAUUGUGUCGAUGGAACCUGAUUAUAGCUGGAUAUAUCAACGAAAUAUUGAUAAUAGAAUGGGUGAGGCUGAGAAUGAAGAUGCGGAUGAUGAGUUGUAGUUUUUAGUCUUUUGUAUGUUUUAUAGUUUGAAUUUGGAACCUCGAUAAAUUUUGUAAAUAAUUUGAUUUUUAAUGUUUGUAUUCUUAUGGUGGUUGGUUGAUUGUAUAUUAAAUGAUUGAUGGACUGUAUUGUAAAUAAUUAAUUUGAUUUUUAAUGUUUGUAAAUGAUUGAUGGGCUGUAUUGUAAAUAAUUUGAUUUUUAAUAUUUGUAUUUUGAAAAUUUUCAAUAAUUUUUUUUACAAAAUUAUCAAAAAAAUCGAUCACGUGGUCGGUUUUUUUGGAAUUUUUUUACAAUAAACCAACCACAUGUGGUUCUUUUUUUUGAAUUUUUUUUACAAUAAACCGACCACAUGUGGUUCCUUUUUUUGAAAUUUUUUACAAAAAACUACCACAUGUGGUCCCUUUUUCUUUAAAUUAAUUAAUUAAUUCAAUUAAAAUGUGGUCGGUUUUUUUGUAAAUUAAUUAAUUAAUUUAAAGAAAAAGGGACCACAUGUAGUUUUUUAUAAAAUUAAUUAAUUAAUUUUAAAAGAAAACCAACCACUUGUGGUUGAAUUUAUUAAAAUUAAUUAAGUAAUUUAAAAAAUAAAAGUGGUCGGUUUAUCUUUAUUUUAAAAUCAUUUUUUCGAUUUUAAUAAAAUAAUAAUGAAUUAUAAAAAAAUAUAUAUAUUUUUUAAAAAACGGAUCACAUGUGGUUGGUUUUUAAAAAGCUGUCACAGUUUUACCGACCACUCAUUUAUGGUCGGUUUUUCUGUUUUUUUAGUAGUAUAUAUAUAUAUUCAACGAAAUUCUUGAAUUCGUUGUUGGGUUCAUUAAAGGCUCAGGUUUCUCCAUCCCAGGGUGAAGAAUCUCAAUCGAAGCACCAGUGUUAUUAACUGUUUUAAGUACGCGUAAACAUGUAAUUUACUAAGAUUGAGUAGAUAACUUGUUAAAGCCGAAAUAUUGAUUUAUUUCAUCUAUAAUUUUUUUAGUUUCAUGUUUUUUUUCUGAAGAGAUCUAAAAAAGUCCCUUUUUUAAAUUUAAUUUGUAGGUGGGUCAAGAGAUCUCUUAUUUUCUUGCUAAGCUACACCAAACUUAUAAAACUCAUAUAUACAUUUUCAGUAGGUGUUUAGACAUGCAAUUUCAUUUCAUGAUUUGAUAUCAUAAGAUGAAAUCAAAUCAUGAAAUGAAAUCAGCGUUGAACAUGCAAUUUCAUUUUAUGAUCUCAAAUCAAGAAAGGGAAUCUCAAAUUCUCCAAAAAACUUGCUAUUGGAAUUUCAUAUCAUGAUUUGAAACUUUUUAAAUACAAAAAUUGACCCACAAGUUUAUAUUUUAUAAAAAUAUUUAUCAUUUAAAUCUAUCAACCAUUUAUUUCAUUUGUAAACAAAAUUUAUACUAUUAAUAUUGUUACUCGUACCAAUCUUUAAACCAUUUAUAUCUGACAUAACCAUUACUUUCACAAAUCUUCACUAACUAAUUUAUUAUAAUUACUUCAAUCUAAAAUUUAUUUUACUUAUUUAUUGAAUUAAAGUUUGAUCAAUAAAUAUAGUAUUUUUUUUAGAAUAGUGUUGUAAUAAUAUGCUAUACUUUUGUUAUGAAUUUUGCUUAUUUGGUAAGAUUGUAUCAAGAAUUAGAAAAUUUUGAUAAUUUUCACAAUUUAUGGAAUUUUAAUAUUUAUGAAAGAAAAAUACAAUUUAAAAGUUUAAAUUAUAUGUCUAAAUAAAGUUUUACUUCAUCUUUAUCUCGUAUAAUUUCAUAUCAUGAUUUCAUUCACCCAGCAAAACAAAUCCUUAAUAAAUAUAAAUUAUUAUUUUUUCAUGAAAAAUGCGCAAGUGUCUUGAGGGAGAAAAAGGGAUGAUGUUUGACGAUGCACCACACGCAUCGAACACGGCAAAACCAAGAAAUAUGAAGAAACGGAAUUAGGUAUAGAAAAAGAUAAAGGUAUUAUUUUGUUUUUUAUGACCUACCAAAGCCAAUGCAUGAGACAAAAUAAAUUCAUUUGGCUAGGGAGUAAUUGUACCCAAUCUUAAUUUUCUUAAUAAGAAAUUUGUUAAAGUUUUCUGGUUUGAUCUUCUUUAUAUAUAAUGACCACUUUUGAUGUAAGCACUAAUUAAGCCUCAUGAGUCAUUAGCACCAACAUAGUUGUUGGUGGGACAAUUUUACUCUUAAUUAGAGGUUUCAGAUUCGAGCAUUGUAUAUAAAAAAAAUCCUGUUAAGAGUGGCGGCCUAGAAUAGCCCUUCAUUGCAUAAAUUGUAUUAGUCGGAACUUCAAUGUAAACACAAAGCGCCGGUUGCCACCACCCCCCAAAAUAAAAAGAAAGCCUCAUGAACUAUUUUUUUCAAUAUAUAAGUAUUGCGGUUUGGACGGAUAUACAAAUGGUGAAAGUUGGAGACAUGCACCCUGUACAUUAUACAUUUGAUUUUGAUGGAAACCUGCUUUGAUUUUAUCUCUUUCAAAAGAAGAUGAGUAAUUAAUUACUAGUAGUAUUCAUAUCUCAGGUGGACUUGAACACAGCCAAAUGCUGUCUCGCAAUAUUCUUUAUAUUUUCAAUCGGUGUAAUCACUUUCUUUGUAAAGUUGGAUGUGGCCGUAGUGCAUUUACACAUACGUGGGUCACCUACCUUGUUCUGGGUAAGUUAUUAAAUGAAAGAGUUCGAGUUGAAUUUCAGAAAAAUAAAAUGAAUUUGAGUUGGGUUAUGGAUUAUUGAAAAAUCGGUUACACUUUGUUUGGAUGGUGGUUGCCAUGGUAUAAUAUGGUAUCGUUACUAAGAGUAUUAUAUUUGUUUUGAUUGUUUCUUAAAAUAUAUGGUAUAGUAUGAUUUGAUUCCAUGAUUAGGUAAUCACAAAAAGUCUCACUUUAUGUAACCAUCGAUUUUGUGGUAUCGCGUCGUUCCCUUAAUUUUUUUCUCAUCUCACCAUUAUUUAUUAUUCAAAAAUUUCAUUUUAUUCUUUAUCCUACCUCUUUAAAGUUGCCCUAUCCCGUAUCCUAUUUUUCUAAUAGGUACAUUUUUCAAAUUAUUGAUGCGUCAGAUUAUGUAACAACAAAAAAUGAUACUGUAACGACCUGUUAGGUCGUUUUGAAAAACUAGAACCUUAUUUUUCAGAAAGACUCCUCGUGUAAAAUUGUAUAUGGGAAUUUUUGCCUAAUUCGGAAACUAAUUUAGAUAAUUAAGUUGAUGAUUAUUAAGAAUAUGAUUUUAUUAAAAAAUUAGAAGUGGGCCACACCCACCACUCUUUUACUACCCACACACACAUUGUAUAGGGUAGAAACACAGUAAUUUGUCAGAUCUCCACUUACCAGAAAAGAAAAAAACAAAAUACAAGGUUUUGAAGUGCUUUGUUCAUUGGCGUCAUCCUACUGCCUGCUUCAGGUAAAAGCUUGACAGGCUUAAACCUUUUGUUUCUGUGUUGAUUUCUAAGAGUUAGGAUCUCAUUAUUAGUUAUGUAGUUGUUGGGUUGGAGAAUUGUGAACCGAAAUUGUUUAUUGCAGUGGUGAAUUAAUUUGUUUGAAUAGUUGAGGCUAAUACAAAUUCAAUGAUAAAUUAUGAUGAGAGUGAAAUCAAGGGAAGAAGUAUCAUUGUGUUAUUUCUAUCAUAACCGUUGGCAUGAACUGGUGCAUGAAAUUGAAAGAAAAACAGUAGAAUAGUUGAAUAAUUAAUGAUGUGUAAUUCCAAUAAUUAAGUAAUCAAUGGGGAGUAAUUUGUUAAUGAUUGUAUAGUUGUUGGCUAGUAUAAUAAUGGAUUAUUGAAAGUGAGAAAUUUGGAGAGGAUUGAGGAAGUUAGUAGUAUAGUAGACGUGGGCGGUAGCCAUACAAUGACAUUAAUUAUUUAUGUUAUUUGUGGGUACAUUAGUGUUAAAAUAGUCCAAAAAAAAGUUUCUUCUUAUAAUUUAAUGUUGAUUAAGGUGACUUUCUAUACAUGAAAUAGUGGUACUGCAAGUCUUUAUUUUUUAAAUUUUUCUAAGCGGCCUUAGCUUAUAUUAUCAGAUAUUGAUCGAACGUGAUGGUGACAAAUUUAGGCAUAGUUAUGAAAUUUAUUUGAGUAAAAUUUUAUAAAACAAGUGUUAUUAAAUUUGUAUUCUUAAGAGGAUUAUAUGUUUGGACAGAUUUUGAACAUUCCGAAAAUUUGAGGAAAGACAAGACACUUGUGGACUAGUGAUAUUUGAGUUCUCCGGUUGAGGUAGGUUACAGUUUAAUGGGAGUUUAGACUCGACUUAAUUGUGUGUAUGCUCCUAAGUUGGAUACUUGUUGAUUGGUAUUCGGACAUGCUUGAAAUUGCUAAUGUUUGAAUUGUUGAUGCGUGUAUAAAUGUUUAUUGAAAAUUUACUUGAUGGAAUUGUUUUAUGACUUGAAGUGUACUUGUAAACUUGGUACAUUGUGUUGUAUGCUGUGAGGUUGUUUAAACUGAUAUUGAUAAUACUUGUAUAUGUUGGAUCGGGUAACACCCCGGUACGGAUAUAUUUAUGUUGGAUCGGGUACCAAGCCGAUACAAAUAUAUUUAUGUUGGAUCGGGUACCACGUUAGUACAGAAUAUUUAUGUUGGAUCGGGUACCAUGCCGAUACAUAUAUAUUUAUGUUGGAUCGGGUACUAAGUCGGUACGGAUAUAUUUAUCUUGGAUCGAAUACCACGCCGGUACGGAUAUAUUUAUGUUGGAUCGGGUACCACGCCGGUACGGAUAUAUUUAUGUUGGAUCGGGUACCACAUCGGUAUAAAUAUAUUUAUGUUGGAUCGGGUACCACGCCGGUACGGAUAUAUUUAUGUUGGAUCGGGUACCACGCCGGUACGGAUAUGUUUAUGUUAGAUCAGGUACCAUGCCGGUAUGGAUAUAUUUAUGUUGGAUUGGGCACCAUGCCGGUACAGAUAUAUUUAUGUUGAAUCGGUUACCACUUCGGUACAAAUAUAUUUAUGUUGGAUCGGGUACCACACCGGUACAGAUAUAUUUAUGUUGGAUUGGGUACUACAUCGGUACGGAUAUGUAUAUGUUGGAUCGGGUACUACGUCGGUAUGAUACAUGAGCAUAGAUUGUUCCCUGUAGGUCAUGACUAUUUGGGCAAAAAUAAGCCCCAUAGCAUGUGUGUACAUAUUUGUGUUGAUUUUAUGGAUGUUUACAGUAUGGUUGAUACUCUUGAUGGUUAUGUGACUUGUUUGUGAGCACUAUUUAACCUGUUGUUGCUGCAUAGUUGAUUUAUUGAAUAUUUGCUAUGUGACGAUGCCUGUCUACUCCUUAUUUAAUUUAUGUUGUGUACAUAUUAUUAAGUUGAGUUGGCCUAUGAUGCCUACCAGUACAUAGUGAUUUGUACUGAUACUACCCUGUACUCUUCUUUUGUUGAGUGCAGAAAGUUUUUUGGAGGCUCAGACAUGACCUCACCUCUAGAGUUUGAUAGCAGAUCUUGAUCCAAGAUUGAGUACUUCGUCUGCAGGCUGCCACGGUCAUCUUAUUUAUUAUUUUCCAUCUUUCGGGCAGUAAAACAUUCCUUAUUUACUUUAUUUUGGAUACCUCUUUAGACAUGAUCUUUGUUAGUAGUUCUCAUACGAUGACUUUCGGCUCUUGGGAAUUUUAGUAAGUAGUUUGUUUUACUUCUGCAUUAAUAAUGAUUAGUCCUAGAUUAUUGUUAUUAUGUUGAUUUAUAGUAAUAUUAUCUUAAUAUUGACUAAGUGAUUGGGUAAUGGUUUGAUUUAGAUGGUUCUCCUACAGGAAGAUUAGUGUGGGUGCCACUUAUGGCCAUUUGGGUCGUGACAAAGUUAGUAUCAGAGACUAGGUUCGUCGAUCUCACCGUACAAGAACAUGUCUAGUAGAGUCUUGUGGAACGGUACAGAGACGUCUGUACUUUUCUUCGAGAGGCUAUAGGACACUAGAAAAAUUCAAAUUCUUCUUUUUUUCGUGCUAUUACUUGAUUUCAAUUGGUAUUUAGCGAUUUCAGUUGGUAUGUGAAUCUUUCAUUUUUAUUCUCGAAUAUGGGUGCGGUGGAGUGAGUUACAUUAGGAGGUUUUGUCCUAAUUUUAGGCAUUAUGGUUAGUUUGGCCAGCAACAAACUCCUCAAGCUCUAGUUCUAGCCGGUAGGAGAGGUGGUGGUAAUGGUAGAGUUCAUUCACAUUGGUAGGGGUGGUAAUCAACCUCAUCGAGGUGGCUCUUAGCUUGAUAAAAAUGACUCUCAAAUUGAUGGUAGGGCCCAUAUCUUUGCUUUUCCAGGUAGGCCCGAGACAGAGGUAUCAGACGUUGUCAUUACAUGUACUAUUCUUGUCUGUGAUUGGAUGGCUACUGUAUUUUUGACCUUGGUUCUUCUUUCUCAUAUGUGUCUAUCAAUUUUGUUGUAGGUUUGGACAUGGUGUGUGAUUUACUUGACUUUUCAAUUUAUGUGUCUACUCUUAUUAGUGAUUCUGUUAUUGUUGAUAGGAUUUAUCGUUCUUGUUCGGUUAUGUUUAUGGGGUAUCAAACUUGGGUAGAUUUUGUGAUUCUAGACAUUGUAGAUUUUGAUAUAAUUUUGGUUAUGAGUUGGUUGUCUCUGUAUCAUGCUAUACUGGACAGUCAUGCUAAGACAGUAAUUGUGGCUAUACCGAAAAUGGAUAGACUGAGUGGGAGGGUGAUUAUAGUCUUACUCUAAUGAAACUUAUUUUCUUUCUGCGUGCAAAGAGGCUAAUUGGAAGGGGUUGUUUGGCCUUCCUAGCACAUCUUCGGGACACUUUUGUAGAGGUCUCAUCUAUUGAGUCAAUUUCUGUGGUGUGUGAAUUUCAAGAGGUUUUUCCUGAAGAUUUGCCUAGUAUGUCACUAGGCCAUAACAUUGAUAUCUAUAUUGAUCUAGAGCCAGGUACUCGUCCUAUUUCUAUUCCUCCAAAAGAAUGGCUCCAGAUAAGUUGAGGGAGCUAAAGGCUUUGUUGCAUGAUCUGUUAAGUAAAGAUUUUAUCCGUUCGACUGCCUCUUCAUGGGGUGCUCCUGUCUUGUUUAUGAAGAAUAAUGAUGGUAGUCUUCGAAUGUGUAUAUACUAUAGGCAGUUGAACAAGUUAUAUUUUGUAAUAAGUAUCCUUUGCCCCGUAUCAAUAAUUUAUUUGACCAGUUAUAGGGUGCAUUCGUAUUUUCUAAGAUUGAUUUGAGAUUCGGGUAUCAUCAACUAAAGAUUCGGCAUGAUGAUAUUCCUAAGACAGCUUUCCAAACCCGGUAUAGGCACUUUGAGUUUCUUGUGAUGUUUUUGGACUGACUAAUGCCCCAACUGCUUUUAUGAGUUCGAUGAAUGGGAUAUUUAAACCCUACUUGAAUUCUUCCGUGAUUGUCUUUAUUGAUGAUAUUCUGUCUUAUUCUAAGAGUAAAAAGGAGCAUGAGGAUCACUUAAGGACUGUUUUGGGUUUGUUAGAAGAGAAAAAGUUUGAUGCAAAGUUUUCUAAGUGUGGAUUCUGGUAAGCUUCUGUCUAUUUUUCUUCAUAGAUGAUGUGUGAUAUAUGUUGUGUGUGGAUACGGAUGUUAGGCUUGAUUAUGGGUAGGAUGACUUGGCCUCGAUUGUUGAUGUUUGGAGUUUAGAUGCGGGCUUAGGACCCAUAAAAUAACAUAUUUAUACCCUUUUUGAAUCCUAUUGCUUUUCCUCUCUAGUUUAGAUUAGUUGUAGCAUGGUUAUGAUGUAAACCUACGUUUGGGAUGUGGUUUUAGUAUCUGAAGCAUGAUUUGUAUAUUUAGCCUUAUUAGGCUAGUGUGGUAGUCUUGAAACCGUAAGUUGGGUAGAGUUGACUGAGUACCUUGUUUCUAGUCGAAGUUGCCAUCUUAGGCUUGAAUAUGCCUUACUUGACAUCUAGAAGAUGAACUAGAUACCUUCGCAUAGUUUGGAGAAUAGUGUGCCUAGUUAUGAAAAUUGAGGAUUAGAAAUGGUAUCGUUUGGCCCACUUAGGCCUAAAAAUUGUGUUAAGUCUUGUGGACUUAGUUGCGGAUGUUAGACUUAAAUGAGGCUAGUAAACCGUAGAAUAAGGUUACCUCGUAACUUGGUAAAUUAUAUUGAUGUUCCCGGAUUAUGGCUUUGAGUUAUAGUCAUGAUACUUAUUGUGGAAGUGAUAUUGGGCAUUUAGAGAUUAUAUUCCUUCUAGAUACAUUCUGUGGCCUAUAGAGAUGCUAUUUCCUCUUAGAUAUGCAAAUUGGCCUAGAGAGGUGAUAUUCCUCGUAGUCAUGAUGUAUGACCUAUCGAUAUAAGAUAUCCUAUAGACUAUUACAUGUCUAUCUAUAUUAUGCCUUCAAUAUGUGAGAUACCUCUUAUAUGUGAAAUGAUUAGUGAUAUGCUAUGGCUUAUAAAUAUGAUUAUCGAUUUGAGUUCCGGAUAUAUAUAUGGGCCUAAGGCCGUAAUUAUGAUGUUGUGACUAUUCCGAAUAAAUUAAUGGGCCAAUGAUUGUGUUAUGAUCAUGAUGGAAUAUCUAAGGAGUGUUUAUCAGUGUAAAGGAUAUGAUUACAGUUUAUGAAGACAUAUGUUUGUUUACGCAUCUCUCCGGUAGGGGACGGAGGAAGAGGCAGUAUGUUGCUUACGACUUUAUUGAUUGGAUACUUAGAUGGCAUGCAUAGAUUUGGUAUAUUCAUGAGUAUUAUAUCGAUAAUUGAUGUGAUUAUAAAUGAAAUAUGAUCUUAUGAUUUUUCUGCCUAAUUAGCGGUUAAGGUAUGUGGUAACUAGUUGUCUAUUAGGGGACUAUAACACUUGAGGGAUAGUAAUCUAAUGCAUUAGUUAAUGAAUCUUGCUUAGUCAAAACAUGGUAGCUAGCGAUGGUUAAUGUGUGACUUAUGGUGAGGUCGGGUCUAUCAUAGGUAAAGAUUAGCUGGUAUUGAUGACUAAGUUCGUGAUGUAGAUUAGUCGAUAAAUGAGGAGUUGUGCGUUAAUGAGGCUAGAUAAUAAAAUAUGUUUGUAAUAAGAGGUGACUAGUUAAUAACCUUGAAUAGUUGCUAAAUGGUUAACUAAUGAAUAGUUAAGCGAGGAUUAGUUGGUAAACUAUGGUCAGAUAAAGAAUGAUGUCAGUUAAUAAAAAUGGUUAGGUGACAAAUAGUAAUGUGUUGUCUAGUAAUGAUUAAUGGAUAUAGGAUGUUUAGUUGAUAAUAAUGAAUGAUUGAUAAAUGACAGUUUUGGUCUAGUGAUGAACCUUGACUAGAUGUUAGAUGUUGGCUGUUAAAUAAGUAGUGGUUAGUUGCUAUCCCAUGAAUAAGGAUUAUGUGAAGGAUAAUGGUUAGGCUAAUAACUAAAGGUUAUGUGAUGACUAGCAAACUCGUGAUUCUAUUAUAAUAAGUGUUGGUUAGCUAAUAACGAGUAGUUGGGAAGUAUUGACUAGAUAGAUAUUCUAUGGUGAUAUGACUAUUUUUAUAAGUAUUUUAGUGUAUGUUAUUCGGUAAUAACUAUUAUGAUGAUAUGUUGAUACCUGGCAAGGUCGGAGAAUACUAUUGUGAUAUUAUUGAUACCCGAAAAGGCCGGAGGAUACUGUUGGGAUGAUGUUGAUACCUGGCAAGGCCGGAGGAUAUAUUUAUGAUGUGUUGAUAUCCAGCAAGGUCGGAGGUUGAUUAUGAUGAUGAUGGUCCUGAUGAGAACAAUUAUGAUGAGUUGUGUUAUUGAUUGUAUACUUUGCAUUCAUUCCUGCAUGCGCAUCGCUUAUCACUAGUAUGCACCUAUACUUAUCAGUCGGUAUAGGACGACUGCAUAUAUAUGGGUGAAGAAUAUGUAUUGUGUUGUAUACUGAUUGAACCUUUUGAGUCUGGGGUGGUGGGGGUACGCAUAGGCUCGGCUAGGUAUUUGGUUGUCCGUAAGUUGAGGACUAAGGAAAUUGCGUCUGUGAAUGUCCAGUGGAAGAAUUGUCCUAUUGAGGAGGCCACUUGGGAGACAGAAGUGGACGUGCGUAGUAAGUAUCCACAUUUUUUUUGCGGAUUCAGGUAAUUCUGUGUUUUCCCUUCUUGUUUUGUGUUUGCCCGUUCGGGGACGAACAGUUGUUUAAUUAGUAUCUGAUGUAACGACCCAUUAGGUCGUUUUGAAAAACUAGAACCUUAUUUUUCAGAAAGACUCCUCGUGUAAAAUUGUAUAUGGGAAUUUUUUGUUUAAUUCGGAAAUUUAGAUAAUUAAUUUAUUUGAUGGUUAUUAAGAAUAUAAUUUUAUUAAAAAAUUAGAAGUGGGCCACACCCACCAGUCUUUUACUAUCCCCACACACGUAUAGGGUAGAAACACAGUAGUUUGUCAGAUCUCCACUUACCAGAAAAGAGAAAAAAAAUAAGGUUUUGAAGUGCUUUGUUCAUUGGCAUCAUCCUACUGCCUGCUUCAGGUAAAAGCUUCACAGGCUUAAACCUUUUGUUUCUGUGGUGAUUUCUAAGAGUUAGGAUCCCAUUAUUUGUUAUGUAGUUGUUGGGUUGGAGAAUAUUGUGAACCAAAAUUGGUUGUUGCAGUGGUGAAUUAAUUUGUUUAGAUAGUUGAGGCUAAUACGAAUUCAAUGAUAAUUUAUGAUGAGAGUGAAAUCAAGGGAGGAAGUAUCAUUGUGUUAUUUCUAUUGUAACCGAUGGCAUGAACUGGUGCAUGAAAUUGAAAGAAAAAUAGUAAAAUAUUUGGAUAAUUAAUGAUGUGUAAUUUCAAUAAUUAAGUAAUCAAUGGGGAGUAAUUUGUUAAUGAUUGUAUAGUUGUUGGCUAGUAUAAUAAUGGAUUAUUGGAAGUGAGAAAUUUGGAGAGGAUUGAGGAAAUUAGUAGUAUAGUAGACGUGGGCGGUAGCCAUACAAUGGCAUUAAUUAUUUAUGUUAUUUGUGGGUACAUUAGUGUUAAAAUAGUCAAAAAAAAAGUUUCUUCUU